GAUGAACGCUGGCGGCGUGCCUAAUACAUGCAAGUCGAGCGAAUGGAUUAAGAGCUUGCUCUUAUGAAGUUAGCGGCGGACGGGUGAGUAACACGUGGGUAACCUGCCCAUAAGACUGGGAUAACUCCGGGAAACCGGGGCUAAUACCGGAUAACAUUUUGAACCGCAUGGUUCGAAAUUGAAAGGCGGCUUCGGCUGUCACUUAUGGAUGGACCCGCGUCGCAUUAGCCAGUUGGUGAGGUAACGGCUCACCAAGGCAACGAUGCGCAGCCGACCUGAGAGGGUGAGCGGCCACACUGGGACUGAGACACGGCCCAGACUCCUACGGGAGGCAGCAGUAGGGAAUCUUCCGCAAUGGACGAAAGGCUGACGGAGCAACGCCGCGUGAGUGAUGAAGGCUUUCGGGUCGUAAAACUCUGUUGUUAGGGAAGAACAAGUGCUAGUUGAAUAAGCUGGCACCUUGACGGUACCUAACCAGAAAGCUACGGCUAACUACGUGCCAGCAGCCGCGGUAA
rnacentral:rRNA from 1 species